GGCGGAGGAGCAAGAGGGAGCCCUUGAGGACAUAUUCACUGCCCUGCGCUGGGAGCAGUAUAUCAUCCCCUGACACAUCAUGCCACACGAAUCCGGUCUUGUACCUCCUGCAUUGCAUAUAUCAGUUGCCCCCAGCUCGAGACCAGGAAUACAUGGCAGCCAUACCCUUCCCUCUCAGCGCGUCCAGCCGGUGUGUCACAUCUGCAUGCAUUCAUAAUUUGUUGAAGCAGCAGCAGCAGCAGCAGCAGAAAAUUAGGCCACGACAAGACUAGCAAUUUAUCCAAACACAAAACUAGGAGGUGCUAGGAAGGAGAAUUGGUGCCUGACUAGACUGACCUCGGAGGUAGAGGACGUGGUUUGGUGAGGCGAGGGGCAGCUCCAUCAAGUGCGGGUGCUCCAGGUGGCGGCCGUUGCGGCACAGGUAGUACACCACCGUCGCCGUUCCUGUCUCAGCUGUGCUUCGGCUGGCACGGGGCCUCCUCACCCUUCCCUCCAUUGUUGCCCGAUCCCUUGCUGCUGCUUCCUCCGACAUGGCUUUCCUCUCCUUCCCUUCCUUCCCUAGCUGAAGACUGCAGAGGACAAGAUACAAGUGAAGCAACUGCUUACUUGUCGUGACUGUGCUGUGGUGUGCUGCAGUGCAAUGCGGUGAUGCAGCAGAGUGUGGCAAUUGAUUACAGCAACCAAGUGUGGAAGACAAGCAGGCGCAUCUAAGUAGAGCAAGGAGGAGGAGGAGGAGGAGUUGAAACGAGCAAGCUUGUGUGUCUAGUCUUAAGAGUGUAGUGGUGGUGGUGGUGGUGGAGUGGUAAAGCGAUAUGAUCAUAUGGCGUGUGGAAUCAAACACGGUGGUGAUAUAUGUAUAAACACCCGGGCCACCCCUUUGCCAUCCUGGAUUCUCAGCUCAGAUAGCUGUAUAUCGGCCGGACUUAUUAGUACAUACAGUAGAGUGCAUGAGGAGGGAGGCAGGUACAUACUGGAUGAUCUGAUCUGAUCUGGUAAAGCAGCAGCAGACAUGUAUACGGACGGGAGAGAGGUAGCUGUUGUGUUGCUGGUUGCUACCCAUAUUCACAUGGCUCUAACUACUCUGUCAUCACAGCCAGCCACAGCACAGGUAAAGAAGACCAGUAGAGUAGAGCAGAGCAGAGCAGAGUACAUUACAGUACAGUUGGGUGGGAGGCUGCAGUGAGAUUUGGUUGCUUUGCAUCUCCGUCGUGUCUGUCGUGCCCCUUUUUUGCUUUCUUUCUUUUCACAUGAUUCCCUUUUCUUGCUCGUGUGGUGUGGUGGAAGCCCUCUCUGCUGCCCCCCUGGCCUGCAUUUCCAUUCCAACUGACUCGACUAAUUUAAUUGUUCCCUCUUCCUUGGUCAGUGACAUGACAUGCCACAGCCGAGUGAGUGAUUCAGAUUUCAGAAGGGAAGAGGAAGAGGAAGCGCUGCUACCCACCUACUUCUUGUUGGGCUGCCGUGCCAGAGCAAUUGAAGGAAUUCAUGCUUACGAGGGGGAUUAAUGCUUGAAGGUGGUAGUGGCGUAGCGUAUCACUGUAGGACCUACCUACCUACCUAUCAUGCCUUGCAAGACACUGAGCAACCGUCUCCAGCUGAAAACAGCUCUCCUUCACUGCUACGCUUGGACUCUUCUCUGUCAAUACUAGUCCUUAUUCAAGAAGACGAACGGACCUCUCGCCUGCCGGACCAACGGGCAUAGCUCAUUAAUUUCCUUUUUUUCCUCCUCUUUUUUUCUCGCC